UGAGAGAACCCUGGUUAAGGAACUCUGCAAAUUGACACCGUAACUUCGGGAGAAGGUGGGCCGCUGGCGGUUAGUGACUUCGCGUCACGAAGCUGUCGGUGGUCGCAGUGAAAUGGCGGUUGUGAUUGUUUACUAAAAACACAGGACUCUGCGAAGUCGUAAGACGACGUAUAGGGUCUGAUGCCUGCCCGGUGCUGGAAGGUUAAGGGGAUAUGUCAGCGCAAGCGAAGCAUUGAACCGAAGCCCCAGUAAACGGCGGCCGUAACUAUAACGGUCCUAAGGUAGCGAAAUUCCUUGUCGGGUAAGUUCCGACCUGCACGAAGGGCAUAACAACAUCCGCACUGUCUCGACCAGGGACUCAGCGAAAUUACAUUGGGGGUGAAGAUGCCCUCUACCCGCGGAAAGACGGAAAGACCCCAUGAACCUUUACUGCAACUUGGCAGUGAUUUUCGGGUUGUUCUGCGUAGGAUAGGUGGGAGGCUUUGAAGCCGGGCUUCCGGGUUCGGCAGAGCCAACGUUGAAAUACCACCCUGAAUAAUCUGGAAAUCUAACCUGCGCCCAUGAUCUGGGCGAGGGACACUGCCUGGUGGGCAGUUUGACUGGGGCGGUCGCCCCCUAAAUUGUAACGGGGGCGUGCGACGGUUCCCUCAGGCUGAUUGGAAACCAGCCGUAGAGUGCAAACGCAUAAGGGAGCUUUACUGCGAGACUGACAAGUCGAACAGUUGCGAAAGCAGGUGUUAGUGAUCCGGUGGUACCACAUGGAAGGGCCAUCGCUCAUCGGAUAAAAGGUACUCUGGGGAUAACAGGCUGAUCGCGCCUGAGAGUUCACAUCGGCGGCGCGGUUUGGCACCUCGGUGUCGGCUCAUCGCAUCCUGGGGCUGGAGCAGGUCCCAAGGGUUUGGCUGUUCGCCAAUUAAAGCGGUACGCGAGCUGGGUUUAAAACGUCGUGAGACAGUUUGGUCCCUAUCUUCCGUGGGCGCAGGACACUUGAGAGGAGCUAUCCAUAGUACGAGAGGACCUGGAUGGACGAACCUCUGGUGCUCCGGUUGUCACGCCAGUGGCAUAGCCGGGUAGCCAUGUUCGGAACAGAUAACCGCUGAAGGCAUAUAAGCGGGAAGCUGGCCUCAAGACUAGGUGUCCCUGACGCAAGUCACUAAAGGCCCCUCGAAGACUACGAGGUUGAUAGGCUCGGUGUGGAAGCGCUGCGAGGCGUGGAGCUAACGAGUACUAAUAGGCCGUGCGACUUGACCCC
rnacentral:rRNA from 1 species